rnacentral:rRNA from 1 species
GCUGGAAUUGCUAGUAAUGGCAGGUCAGCAUACUGCCGUGAAUACGUUCCCGGGCCCUUGUACACACCGCCCGUCACACCAUGAGAGUUGGAAAUACCCGAAGCCUGUGAGCUAACUGUAAAGAGGCAGCAGUCGAAGGUAGAGCCAAUGAUUGGGGUGAAGUCGUAACAAGGUAAC